rnacentral:misc_RNA from 1 species
AUAAGAUAAAAGACCUCCGGGUCCUUCAUCCUCAAACCUGUGGAAGCGAGACGUGUUUCGGCGCCUCUGCGUCGAAUCUAUGCUGUUUAGCUUGUGUCUGACUAAAAAACAUUUA